UGGCGGAUGACACUACAGUGAGAAAUUUGGAAUGAUACAGAAAGGAUUAACAUGGCCCCUGCGCAAGGAUGACACGCAAUUUCGUGAAGCAUUCCAUAUUUUA